ACAUCGUCGAGGCGGCGUGCCGGAGGAAAUAACAAGAAAUCGGCAAGUAGAAUUAGCUAGAUACGUAUUUGAAUCAGUAACGACGUAGUGUCCUGCUAUUGUAAGAUAAGUAAUCAAUUCUAGAGUUUUGCUCAGCAUCACAAGGCUGGCUACAACCUAGGUUUGAGAUGCCACCUCGGACUCGAGCAUCUUAGAGGGCUGUGGGUGAAUCGAACGUGCCCUGAGAAAUUGAUGAACGACUACGGAUUACUACCUCACACGGAUGAGGUCAUUCUAGAACUAAGAGGAGGAGGAUGAAGAUGAUUUGAAUGAUGACGAAGGAGAUGAGUCAGUUUCAUCAUCUGCAUUUAUGAAGCUAAAACCUUCAUCCUUUACUGGUUCCACAGUAGGAGAGGACCCACGUAGAUUUUUGGACACUAUAGAAAAGAUCUAUCGUGCUUUGGGAGCUUCGAGCACAAGGUCAGUAACCUUGGCUAGUUU